GCCCCCCUAGCUCAGUUGGUAGAGCGUUUCCAUGGUAAGGAAAAGGUCAACGGUUCGAUUCCGUUGGGGGGCU
rnacentral:tRNA from 1 species